AUGGGCUCCCCAGUUUCACCCAUCGUGGCCAAUUUGUACAUGGAAGAAGUGGAAAAGAGGGCGUUGCUAUCCUACCCUGGAACACCACCAAGCCAUUGGUUCAGAUAUGUGGAUGACACCUGGGUGAAAAUCAAAUCUCAGGACGUACUACAAUUCACGGAUCACAUUAACUCGGUGGACCAACACAUCAAAUUCACCAGGGAGGAUAUGAAAAGUGGCAGGUUAGCCUUCUUAGACUGUGAGAUUUCCAUCAGUAAUGGGGGACAUCUAAAAGCUGACGUGUACCGUAAACCUACGCAUACGGAUCAGUAUCUAAGGUUUGACUCUCAUCAUCCACUGGAGCACAAACUGGGUGUCAUCAGGACGCUACAACACAGAGCGAACACCAUCCCCACUGACACAGCGACCAGGGAGGCAGAAGAACAGCACAUCAAGAAGGCCCUGAGUAAAUGUGGUUAUCCCAGCUGGACUUUUGUCAAAGCUGGGAAGGCACCUAAAGAAAGCUCCAGCCGAUCCAGAAGAGAAGGACAACCGCUGCCCAGGCGAAAACCUGUAGUAAUCCCAUAUGUGUCAGGAGUAUCGGAACAGUUGAGACGCAUUUUUUCUAAACACCGGGUCUCUGUGGCUUUUAAACCCCAAAACACGCUGUGCCAAAAACUGGUCCACCCCAAGGAUCGGGUCCCCCGACACAAACAGAGUAACAUAGUGUACGCUGUUAAGUGCCAGGAGGAUUGCCAGGAUUUAUACAUCGGGGAAACCAAACAACCUCUAGCGAAGCGGAUGGCACAACACAGAAGAGCAACCUCAUCAGGCCAGGACUCUGCAGUUUAUUUACACCUACAGGCCAGUGGACACUCUUUCAACGAUGAGGAUGUACACAUCCUGGACAGGGAGGAACGCUGGUUUGAGCGCGGAGUCAAGGAGGCCAUUUACGUGAAAAGGGAAAGACCAUCUCUGAAUCGAGGAGGGGGCCUAAGGGUACAUCUUUCGCCAUCUUACAAUGCUGUGAUUGCAGCCAUUCCCCAACUCUCUGUGAAUGGUACUCAUGGCCGUUGA
rnacentral:lncRNA from 1 species